UACGUAGGGGGCAAGCGUUGUCCGGAAUCAUUGGGCGUAAAGCGCGCGUAGGCGGCCCGGUAAGUCCGUUGUGAAAGUCAAAGGCUCAACCUUUGAACGCCGAUGGAUACUGCCGGGCUAGAGUCCGGAAGAGGCGAGUGGAAUUCCUGGUGUAGCGGUGGAAUGCGCAGAUAUCAGGAGGAACACCAAUAGCGAAGGCAGCUCGCUGGGACGUUACUGACGCUGAGACGCGAAAGCGUGGGGAGCAAACACG
rnacentral:rRNA from 1 species